rnacentral:rRNA from 1 species
AUUGAACGCUGGCGGCAUGCUUUACACAUGCAAGUCGAACGGCAGCGCGGGCUUCGGCCUGGCGGCGAGUGGCGAACGGGUGAGUAAUGCAUCGGAACGUGCCCAGUAGUGGGGGAUAGCCCGGCGAAAGCCGGAUUAUUACCGCAUACGACCUGAGGGUGAAGCCGGGGGACCGAAAGGCCUCGCGCUAUUGGCGCGGCCGAUGUCGGAUUAGCUAGUUGGUGGGGUAAAGGCUUACCAAGGCGACGAUCCGUAGCUGGUCUGAGAGGACGACCAGCCACACUGGGACUGAGACACGGCCCAGACUCCUACGGGAGGCAGCAGUGGGGAAUUUUGGACAAUGGGGGCAACCCUGAUCCAGCCAUGCCGCGUGCGGGAAGAAGGCCUUCGGGUUGUAAACCGCUUUUGUUCGGGAAGAAAUCCUCUGGGCUAAUACCCCGGGGGGAUGACGGUACCGGAAGAAUAAGCACCGGCUAACUACGUG